rnacentral:lncRNA from 1 species
UUUCUGAAUAACAACAUUAUAGUACAUUUCAUCGGUCUACAACAAAACAGUACAUAUAAAAAUCAACAAUGCAUAUCUGAACAUAGGUUACAACAAUACCACCAGGAUGGUACAACACACUACAAAACUUAUAUGAUAUCACAUCCGACUCUGGUUAACAACAAAUUAAAAAUUCAAACAUAGCACUUUAAACCAACAACCACAUCUUCUUUUUGAUAUUGACUGUAUUUCUCUGGUUAAUAACAAAUUAAAAAUUCAAACUUAGCACUUUAAAAAAUCUGGUUAACAACAAGUUACAUUCGGAAACAUACAACCUGAUGCCGGCUCCCACUACGGUAGAAUACUUAAUAGGAUCUGUGUUUCCGAAUGGAAUUAAAACAAUCUUUACUUUCAUGUACAACAGAUUUUAGUCUGAUUCUGAUUUCCAUUGCAAUACAAGGGACUUGGUAACUGUGUGCAGCAUAAUUGUUUUGCUGUUAACUUUUCCAUUGCAAAACAAUGUAUGACAGAUUUUGUUCUGUGUUACUUAUUGCAUCUACUGUACUGAUAUCCGGUAAAGGAACGACCAUUUUACUUCAAAAGGUGUUUUUUCUAAAAGAAAUAUUCUGAUCCCCAAUUUGAUGAAAAAAAUAUAUUGAUCAAGCAAAUUCUGAAUCCAGAUUCCUCGAUCUUACGUUAAAGUCUUAAAAUUUGGAAAAAAAUAUAUUGAUUGAAAGCGUCAGACAACUACAAAAAAAAAAAAAAAUUCGGGCGAAACACAUUUCUGGCUAAAAAUAACCUACAUACCCAGCCCCAUCCCCCUCGAAGUUAAAUGGUCUUUCCUAUAGGGUGUGAAACAUAGCACUUUAAAAUAACUGACUAGAGGUACAAGAAAACAACUGUAGGUGGAGAGAAUGUUCAUGAAAGAUAUUUCGAUGUACCAUCACCUUUCUAUCUUCUUUGCAAAUGAGUUGUGAAAAUGUUCUUUAGUUCUUUAAUUGUUUGCUCUUGUGGUUCUGUAGUUAUAAUUAGCCAAUAACAGAAGCCAACAGAUUAAUAUUUCAAUUGACCAACCGGUUACACUAUGUUAUUUUAUUAUUGUCUUUGAUUUCAUAAAAGGACUUCAAGUGCCAAAGUCACAAAUAUACAGAAAUAUUGAUAUUUCGCUACUUCUAUAGAAAAAAAUAUAGUUAAGAAUUUG